rnacentral:lncRNA from 1 species
GCGAGUGGGAGCGCCCCGCGCGGCGCCGCUGCCGCAGAGGGCCGGGGACGCGACGGCCACCGCCAAGUGGGAGACUCCUGGAAGCGAAUCCAGGCCGGUGCCAGCAGCGGCUUCUUUCUCAAGAUAAUUGCUAUCCACUGGGAUAAAGCUCAAUAUCCAGUUCAGGAAAUGGGAAACACUGAUAUAUGACUCAUCCCAUGGAACAGAAUAUAGUCUACGUGGAAUGUCACACUGUGCUUCUAGUGGCAAAGUUUGCAUAUAUGUAUGUAUCAGUGUAUCUUUAAAUUUGCCUUUGUGUUGCAAGCACUUGUUAUAUCCUUCCUAUUAUUCCUAUUAUUUAAAUCAAUUUUUAUUUUGCAAGACUACUGGUAAAGAUUUUGGAAUGAAAUGUUUCUGGGGAACCGAGUCACCCUAAUUUAAAAAAUAAAAAUAUCUCAGUAAUUUGGACAAUAGGUUUAAUGUAUGAGGUUAAAUAUAUACCUGCUUAUUAUAAAUAUGCAGAAUCAUUUCUUGUUUAGAAAAUAUUUCAAAUAUUUUAUGGAAUAAUUACAGAUUAUUUGUGUUCAGUUGGCAAUGUUCUAGCCGAACAACUUAUAAUUAAAAAUGUAAAUAAAGAAGUGUCAUUAGUCUAAAAA